GAUGAACGCUGGCUACAGACUUAACACAUGCAAGUCGAGGGGAAACGACGGGGAAGCUUGCUUCCCCGGGCGUCGACCGGCGCACGGGUGAGUAACGCGUAUCCAACCUGCCUCUGACUGAGGGAUAACCCGUCGAAAGUCGGCCUAAUACCUCAUGGCAUCGUCUGCGGGCAUCCAACGACGAUUAAAGAUUUCAUCGGUCAGAGAUGGGGAUGCGUCUGAUUAGCUUGUUGGCGGGGUAACGGCCCACCAAGGCGACGAUCAGUAGGGGUUCUGAGAGGAAGGUCCCCCACAUUGGAACUGAGACACGGUCCAAACUCCUACGGGAGGCAGCAGUGAGGAAUAUUGAUCAAUGGGCGAGAGCCUGAACCAGCCAAGUAGCGUGCAGGAUGACGGCCCUAUGGGUUGUAAACUGCUUUUAUGCGGGGAUAAAGUGAGGGACGUGUCCUUCAUUGCAGGUACCGCAUGAAUAAGGACCGGCUAAUUCCGUG
rnacentral:rRNA from 1 species